rnacentral:rRNA from 1 species
UCGAGAAUCUUCCGCAAUGGACGAAAGUCUGACGGAGCGACGCCGCGUGGUGGAUGAAGCACUUUGGUGCGUAAACACCUUUUAUGAGGGAGGAAUUUUAUUGACGUUACCUCAUGAAUAAGGGGCUCCCAACUCUGUGCCAGCAGGAGCGGUAAUACAGAGGCCCCAAGCAUUAUCCGGAUUCACUGGGCGUAAAGGGUGCGUAGGCGGUGUUAUUAGUCGGGUGUUAAAUCCUGGGGCUCAACCUCAGAAUCGCAUUCGAAACGGUAACACUAGAAGAAGUCAGAGGUGAACAGAACUCUCGGUGUAGGGGUGAAAUCCGUUGAUAUCGAGGGGAAUGCCAAAUGCGAAGGCAGUUCACUGGGGCUUUCUUGACGCUGAGGCACGAAAGCGUGGGUAGCGAAGCGGAUUAGAUACCCCCGUAGUCCCUGAGCGGGCUGGCAAGGCGCAU